UCAAGCGAAUAAGAGCUUACGAUGGAUAUCUUGGUGUUCAGAAGCGAUGAAGGGCGUGGCUACCAACGAAAUAUCUCGGGGAAUUGGAAGCAAGUAUUGAUCCGAGAGUACCCGAAUGAGGAAACUUCAUGAACUACUUCUUGAAUAAAUAAAGAAGCAAGAGCAAACCUAGUGAAUUGAAACAUCUUAGUAACUAGAGGAAAAGAAAGCAAAAGCGAUUCCCUUAGUAGCGGCGAGCGAAAUGGGAUUAGUCUAAACUCUAUUUUGGAGGGUUGUGGGACAAUUUUAUUUAAUUUGCAGUUUGUUAGAUGAAACAGGUGGAAUAUUGUACCAAAGAAGGUGAAAGUCCUGUAAUCAAAAACAAGUGCAUCUUUUUUGUAUCCCAAGUAGAAAGGGACACGUGGAACCCCUUUUGAAUUAGCGAGGACCACCUCGUAAGACUAAAUAUUACUGAAUAACCGAUAGUGAACUAGUACCGUGAGGGAAAGAUGAAAAGAACCCCGGGAGGGGAGUGAAAUAGAACAUGAAAUCGUAAGUUUACAAGCAGUAGAAGAGCGACUUAACGCUCAACUUCGUGCCUGUUGAAGAAUGAGCUGGCGACUUAUAGGUUAUGGCUUGGUUAAGGUAAGAAAAUACUGGAGCCACAGUGAAAGCGAGCUUGAUAAGAGCUUUAAGUCAUAAUUUAUAGACCCGAACCUGGAUGAUCUAACCAUGGCCAGUGUGAAGCUUAGGUAACACUAAGUGGAGGUACCAACCGACUGUUGUUGAAAAAACAGCGGAUGAGCUGUGGUUAGGGGUGAAAUUCCAAUCGAAUCCAGAGCUAGCUGGAUCUCCCCGAAAUGCGUUGAGGCGCAGCGGUUAAUGUUUCUUCUUAGGGGUAAAGCUACUGUUUUGGUGCGGGCUGCGAGAGCGGUACCAAAUCAAGGCAAACUCUGAAUACUAAGACGUUUAGUUAACUAGUGAGACAUUGGGGGAUAAGCUUCAGUGUCAAAAGGGAAACAGCCCAGAUUAUUGGCUAAGGCCCCUAAAUAAUUACUAAGUGAUAAAGGAGGUGGGGUUGCAUAGACAAUCAGGAGGUUUGCCCAGAAGCAGCAAUCCUUUAAAGAGUGCGUAAUAGCUCACUGUUCGAGUGAUCCUGCGCCGAAAAUGAAUGGGACUAAGUAAUUUGCCGAAGCUGUAAGAUGUUUAAACAUCGGUAGGGGAGCGUUCUACAUUAGUUUGAAGCGUUAGCGGAAGCGGGCGUGGACAAAGUAGAAGUGAGAAUGUCAGCUUGAGUAGCGAAAACAUUGGUGAGAAUCCAAUGCCCCGAAAACCCAAGGGUUCCUCCGGAAGGUUCGUCCGCGGAGGGUGAGUCAGGUCCUAAGGUGAGGCUGAAAAGUGUAGUCGAUGGAUAACAGGUGAAUAUUCCUGUACUGUUUAUUGUUGGUAAAGAAGGACGGAGAAGGCUAAAUCGACCGGAUGUUGGUUACCGGCUUAAGUAUACGAGGUGUCGAAGAGCGGUGAAAACGGUCUGAGCUGAGUUGCGAAUAGGAAAGUGUUAAGACACUGAACCGAUUGAUGUCAUACUUCCGAGAAAAGUUCUAAAUACCAUAAACAAUAAAUACCUGUACCCUAAACCGACACAGGUGGGUAGGUAGAGAAUACUAAGGGGCGCGAGAUAACUCUCUCUAAGGAACUCGGCAAAAUGGCCUCGUAACUUCGGGAGAAGAGGUACCCUUAAUGGGUUGCAAGAACCAGACGCUGGCGACUGUUUAUCAAAAACACAGGUCUCCGCAAAGUCGUAAGACGAUAUAUGGGGGCUGACACCUGCCCAGUGCCGGAAGGUUAAAGAAGCUUGUUAGUCUUUGGCAAAGCUCGCGACUGAAGCCCCGGUGAACGGCGGCCGUAACAAUAACGGUCCUAAGGUAGCGAAA
rnacentral:rRNA from 1 species